UUUUUUUUUGCCUUCCAUUGUUGCCAUAAUUCCCAUACGAAACUGACUCGACGUAAAAAUUUCGCGCGGCCACCUUCGAUAAAUCUGUUGGCAAACAAUGGGUGAAAAAAAACGAAAAGUUCUUGAAGUUGCAGCCCUUUCCAAGAGUCCUUCGCAGACAUCUGCCAGAAAAAUCGCCCGAAAAUACAGCGGAAAGUGUAUGACACCAGUUAAGGCAGCCAAUGUGUGGAGAGCUUUAGAAAGCGUAGGCAGGGAUGAGGCUUAUUAUUGGGUAGCGGCCACCAGUCCGUCCAACACUGCUCCAUCAACAUCAAUGCUUCUCGGGUCAGUAGCCGCCACCAGACUGUCAACCACUGCUCCAUCAACAUCAAGGCCUUCUCGGGUCAGUAGCCGCCACCAGACUGUCAACCUAUGCUCCAUCAACAUCAAGGCUUCAUAAGACCGUCACAACCACCAGUCCAUCAAAGACAAUCAUAAUUGACAAUUCAGUGAUUAAGGGAUACCAUGUUUUUAAAAUCAAACCACCUGUUACAGACACUAACUUUAAUGUUGACCGGGAGUAUACCAAACUGAUAGAUAAAAAUGCUUGUCUGGUGUGGAUGCCUGACAUUUCUUAAUUUAAUAUGUCUUUGCAUGACAUGUACACAGUUGAAAAAAGACACUUAAAAUUGUUAGAUAUUCCAGGCUUACCAGUAGGCCAUGUUCACGGCAUAUUGUCGAGCUUCUUUCGCAGAAUUUUGGACUCUGAUGGCAAUAUUUAUGCGAUUGUGACAGGAGAGCCAUGUCCAUGUUUCCCAAUAUGGCCUGCCCCACAUGAGAAGGGAGGUGGCGUUGUUAUACCUUGUAGAUAUGUUUUGGUUGUUGAUGAUGCUGGCAGCAUUUUUGCCACUCUUACUGAAGUUCUUUUAAAAUGCUCAGAUCUCUUCACCUUUUUUACUCCAUUCAGUCAUUCAGUUGAAUCAUUUCUAGUCAUUGUAACUAGUAAAGUCUGUUUCAGUAAGUCAUAUUGUCUACAAUAGUUAUAAUCUUAAUAAUGUUGUUUGAUGUGUUCCCAUUUUACAUUGAUAUUUUUUUUAACAUUGAUGUUAUUUAAGUUCUUGUGUGUAGUUGUUUUAGUUUUGUUUUGUUUGAUACUGUUUUUGAUAGUUUAGAACUACACUGAUUGUUUACUGUUUUACAUGAUGAUUUAUAUU